rnacentral:misc_RNA from 1 species
GAUGAAGAACGCAGCGAAAUGCGAUAAGUAGUGUGAAUUGCAGAAUUCAGUGAAUCAUCGAAUCUUUGAACGCACAUUGCGCCCCUUGGUAUUCCAUGGGGCAUGCCUGUUCGAGCGUCAUUUGUACCUUCAAGCUCUGCUUGGUGUUGGGUGUUUGUCUCGCCUCUGCGUGUAGACUCGCCUCAAAACAAUUGGCAGCCGGCGUAUUGAUUUCGGAGCGCAGUACAUCUCGCGCUUUGCACUCAUAACGACGACGUCCAAAAGUACAUUUUUACACUCUUGACCUCGGAUCAGGUAGGGAUACCCGCUGAACUUAAGCAUAUCAAUAGGAGGA